AUUCCUUCUUGGCCUUUUGGCUAAGAUCAAGUGUAAUAUUCUAGUUCCUAAAGUAACUAUAUGCUUAUAAAAAAAUCUUGCCUUUUGGGGGUCUUAAGAGAGUCUAAUGAUCUUGUGCAGUGUAAAAAAUGCAUUAUGACUUCCUUGUUAUGUUUUGCAUUCUCU
ensembl:snRNA U2 U2 spliceosomal RNA